rnacentral:rRNA from 1 species
UACAUGUGGGGCAAGCGUUGUUCGGAAUUACUGGGCAUAAAGGGUGCGUAGGCGGCUUGUUAAGUCAGGGGUGAAAGUUUUCGGCCCAACCGGAAAACUUGCCUUUGAUACUGGCGAGCUCGAGUGCGUGAGGGGUAACCGGAACGAGUCGUGUAGCGGUGGAAUGCGCAGAUAUCAGGAGGAACACCGAUGGCGAAGGCAGGUCACUAGGCCGCAACUGACGCUGAGGUGCGAGAGCGUGGGGAGCGAACCGG